rnacentral:rRNA from 1 species
UACGUAGGGUGCGAGCGUUAAUCGGAAUCACUGGGCGUAAAGCGUGCGCAGGCGGUUUUGUAAGUCAGAUGUGAAAUCCCCGGGCUUAACCUGGGAACUGCGUUUGAAACUACAAGGCUAGAGUGUGGCAGAGGGGGGUGGAAUUCCACGUGUAGCAGUGAAAUGCGUAGAGAUGUGGAGGAACACCGAUGGCGAAGGCAGCCCCCUGGGUUAACACUGACGCUCAGGCACGAAAGCGUGGGGAGCAAACAGG